AAUGGGCGCAAGCCUGAUGCAGCAACGCCGCGUGAGGGACGACGGCCUUCGGGUUGUAAACCUCUUUUAGCAGGGAAGAAGCGAAAGUGACGGUACCUGCAGAAAAAGCACCGGCUAACCACGUGCCAGCAGCCGCGGUAAUACGUAGGUUGCAAGCGUUGUCCGGAAUUAUUNGGCGUAAAGAGCUCGUAGGCGGUCUGUCGCGUCUGCAGUGAAAACCCGAGGCUCAACCUCGGGCCUGCAGUGGGUACGGGCAGACUAGAGGGCGGUAGGGGAGAUUGGAAUUCCUGGUGUAGCGGUGGAAUGCGCAGAUAUCAGGAGGAACACCGCUGGCGAAGGCAGAUCUCUGGGCCGUAACUGACGCUGAGGAGCGAAAGCAUGGGGAGCGAA
rnacentral:rRNA from 1 species